UGUUGCUUCGUCAAUGCAAACGCUACUGCUGAAAUGAUACGGAGAAGAGAAACAUGGCCUCAGCGCAAGGAUGACACGCAAAUUCGUGAUGCGUUCCUUAAUCAU
rfam:Octopus bimaculoides Scaffold15073_contig_37, whole genome shotgun sequence.